UAGGGAAUCUUCGGCAAUGGACGGAAGUCUGACCGAGCAACGCCGCGUGAGUGAAGAAGGUUUUCGGAUCGUAAAGCUCUGUUGUAAGAGAAGAACGAGUGUGAGAGUGGAAAGUUCAUACUGUGACGGUAUCUUACCAGAAAGGGACGGCUAACUACGUGCCAGCAGCCGCGGUAAUACGUAGGUCCCGAGCGUUGUCCGGAUUUAUUGGGCGUAAAGCGAGCGCAGGCGGUUAGAUAAGUCUGAAGUUAAAGGCUGUGGCUUAACCAUAGUACGCUUUGGAAACUGUUUAACUUGAGUGCAAGAGGGGAGAGUGGAAUUCCAUGUGUAGCGGUGAAAUGCGUAGAUAUAUGGAGGAACACCGGUGGCGAAAGCGGCUCUCUGGCUUGUAACUGACGCUGAGGCUCGAAAGCGUGGGGAGCAAACAGGAUUAGAUACCCUGGUAGUCCACGCCGUAAACGAUGAGUGCUAGGUGUUAGACCCUUUCCGGGGUUUAGUGCCGCAGCUAACGCAUUAAGCACUCCGCCUGGGGAGUACGACCGCAAGGUUG
rnacentral:rRNA from 1 species